CAGUCGCCGCGGUAAUACGAAGGGUGCAAGCGUUAAUCGGAAUUACUGGGCGUAAAGCGUGCGUAGGCGGUGAGUUAAGUCUGCUGUGAAAUCCCCGGGCUCAACCUGGGAAUGGCAGUGGAUACUGGCUCGCUAGAGUGUGUCAGAGGAUGGUGGAAUUCCCGGUGUAGCGGUGAAAUGCGUAGAGAUCGGGAGGAACAUCAGUGGCGAAGGCGGCCCCCUGGGCCAACACUGACGCUCAUGCACGAAAGCGUGGGGAGCAAACAGGAUUAGAUACCCGUGUAGUCCCUGUCUCUUAUAA
rnacentral:rRNA from 1 species